AAAACUCUACCACCGGGUAGAAAAUGCGAAAGCAUUCGUCAACACAUCAUUAGGUCUUAGAAGAUGUGUUCACGGGUGCUUAUUUUUU
rnacentral:ncRNA from 1 species